rnacentral:rRNA from 1 species
UACGUAGGGACCAAGCGUUGUUCGGAUUUACUGGGCGUAAAGGGCGCGUAGGCGGCAAUUCAAGUCAGUUGUGAAAUCUCCGAGCUUAACUCGGAACGGUCAACUGAUACUGUUUUGCUAGAGUGCAGAAAGGGCAACCGGAAUUCUUGGUGUAGCGGUGAAAUGCGUAGAUAUCAAGAGGAACACCUGAGGCGAAGGCGGGUUGCUAGGCUGACACUGACGCUGAGGCGCGAAAGCGUGGGGAGCGAUCCGG